UACAGAGGGGGCGAGCGUUGUUCGGAUUCACUGGGCGUAAAGGGUGCGUAGGUGGUUGGGCAAGUCUGAUGUGAAAUCUCCGGGCUUAACCCGGAAAUGGCAUUGGAAACUGCUUGGCUAGAGUGUUGGAGGGGGGACUGGAAUUCUCGGUGUAGCAGUGAAAUGCGUAGAUAUCGAGAGGAACACCAGUGGCGAAGGCGAGUCCCUGGACAACGACUGACACUGAGGCACGAAAGCUAGGGGAGCAAACAGG
rnacentral:rRNA from 1 species